rnacentral:rRNA from 1 species
UGAUCCUGGCUCAGAAUCAACGCUGGCGGCGUGCCUAACACAUGCAAGUCGAACGCGAAAGUGGAGCAAUCCAUGAGUAGAGUGGCAAACGGGUGAGUAACGCGUGGGUGACCUACCUUCGAAUGGGGGAUAACGUCCCGAAAGGGACGCUAAUACCGCAUAACAUCCUGCCUUUGAACAGGUGGAGAUCAAAGCCGGGGAUCGCAAGACCUGGCGUUUGGAGAGGGGCCCGCGUCUGAUUAGCUAGUUGGUGAGGUAACGGCCCACCAAGGCGACGAUCAGUAUCCGGCCUGAGAGGGCGGACGGACACACUGGGACUGAGACACGGCCCAGACUCCUACGGGAGGCAGCAG